rfam:Sclerotinia sclerotiorum 1980 scaffold_35 genomic scaffold, whole genome shotgun sequence.
GUAAGAGGGGAUGCGAAUAGCAUUCCUUUAGUGAUGAGAUCGCAACACUGUCAAAUUGCGGGGAGUUCCUAAAGCUCAGGCUACCGCCUCAGGUGCUGAAAAGCCCUGAAGGCACCAAGGUUAGCAACCUUGGGUAUGGUAAUAACGCCUGUAGAUACUACAAUGGAUGAUCCGCAGCCAAGCUCUAACAAUCUUUUCACGAUUCACGAGCGGGGUUCAACGACUAGACGGCAGUGGGCCUGCAAAACAGGUUUAAGAUAUAGUCUGCGCCUAGGGAAAAAUCCCAAG